GGGGAAGGGUCUCUCUCUCUCCCCUCAGAUAGUAUGACCUACCCCUCAACCAUUAGGGGGAAGGGUCUCUCUCUCUCUCUCAGAUAGUAUGACCUAACCCUCAACCAUUAGGGGGAAGGGUCUCUCUCUCUCUCUCUCUCCCCUCAGAUAGUAUGACCUACCACUCAACCAUUAGGGGGAAGGGUCUCUCUCUCUCCCCUCAGAUAGUAUGACCUACCCUCAACCAUUAGGGGGAAGGGUCUCUCUCUCUCCCCUCAGAUAGUAUGACCUAUCCCUCAACCAUUAGGGGGAAGGGUCUCUCUC
ensembl:lncRNA